rnacentral:rRNA from 1 species
UACAGAGGGUGCAAGCGUUGUUCGGAAUUAUUGGGCGUAAAGAGCGUGUAGGCGGCCAGGUAGGUCCGUUGUGAAAACUGGAGGCUUAACCUCCAGCGGUCGAUGGAAACCAUCUGGCUAGAGUCCGGAAGAGGAGAGUGGAAUUCCCAGUGUAGAGGUGAAAUUCGUAGAUAUUGGGAAGAACACCGGUGGCGAAGGCGGCUCACUGGCUCGUAACUGACGCUCAAGCGCGACAGCGUGGGGAUCAAACAGG